rnacentral:rRNA from 1 species
AUUGAACGCUGGCGGCAGGCCUAACACAUGCAAGUCGAACGAGUGGCGGACGGGUGAGUAAUGUCUGGGAAACUGCCCGAUGGAGGGGGAUAACUACUGGAAACGGUAGCUAAUACCGCAUACCAUCGGAUGUGCCCAGAUGGGAUUAGCUAGUUGGUGGGGUAAAGGCCUACCAAGGCGACGAUCCGUAACUGGUCUGAGAGUAUGAUCAGUCACAAUGGAACUGAGACAGGGUCCAGAGUCUUAGGGGAGGCAGAGGGGGGGAAUAUUCGACAAUGGGGGAAAGCCUGUGCCAGCCAUGCUGGGUGAGGGAAGAAGGUCUUCGGAUUUGAAAUCAUUUCAAGUUGGGAGGCGUUACCAACAGAAUAAGCACCGGCUAACUUCGGGCCAGCAGCAGGGUGAAUU